GCUAGCACAGGUAUCAAUAGCCUUAAUUACCCGUUCAUGCCAUGUUUGGACUUUACUAGGAGUGGAUUAGUUAGAGUCGGUCCGUUCUCUUGUUUAAGAAGCUAGGGCUAGGGUCAAGCAAGCCUGCCUCCAUCCGUUUAUUCCAUAGCCUAUCGAGCCAAGCCAGAUCUGCAGCCAGUGACGAUAACUAAGUAGUAGUUAGUAGUUUAAGUACUUUACUGGGACGAUCAAAAAAAUCCAUAAGCCCGUAACGGAAAAUAGCCUUUCUUUUCCCAAACCUCGUUCGAUCCCGAACUGCAUUCAAAAAUGAAGCAAGGACUUGGUUAUCUGAGCACAGUAGUCUAGCCGUAACCGCAACAGUCAAAAAAGUCAAGUAAGAAAUGCUAGAAUGAGGUAGUUGACUAGCUUGGCCAAAGGGAAAGGACUAUUCAAGCAUUCAUUCCAGCUUAUUUGGUUGGGAUGGGGAAGAUCUUCUAAUGCUUCUAACCCACCAGCCCAAGAAUGGAGUUAUCACGGAAAGGAACUUAGUCCGAUCUUCUUCCACCUACGCUACGUCAACUGGACUUUUCUCACUAUAGUAGCGAGUAGCUCGAAACCCGCAAUAGAAAGGAUUUAGGGGGAAGAGCUCCGGUCUAGCUCAACGAUGACUACAAGAAAAAAAUCGAGCGGGGAUAAAUCAAAUUUAAUUGCCCAACGAAAAGAAGGUAUGGUUGUGCCUGAAGAAGGGCAGUCAGAAGAGGAGAAAUCAGCCUGAGUUCAAUUAGUCCCGGCGUUAUCAGCUACAUUCGCCAGAGGAGUGUACCAAAGAGUUGAGGAAGGAGAGGUUGUUAAGGAGGAGCAGUCCCAGCACGACAAGC